GAUGAACGCUGACAGAAUGCUUAACACAUGCAAGUCGAUGGGGAAGUGGUGCUUGCACCAUGGUAACCAUGGCGGACGGGUGAGUAACGCGUAAGGAACUUGCCUGCGGGACUGGGAUAAAAGCAGGAAACUGCUGAUAAUACCGGAUAAGGUCAUUAAGCUGCAUAGCUUAGUGAUGAAAGGAGACGCCUGCGGAGAGCCUUGCGUCCUAUUAGCUAGUUGGAGGGGUAACGGCCCACCAAGGCGAAGAUAGGUAGCCGGCCUGAGAGGGUGGACGGCCACAAGGGGACUGAGAUACGGCCAUUACUCCUACGGGAGGCAGAAGUGGGGAAUAUUGGACAAUGGGGGCAACCCUGAUCCAGAAAUUCUGUGUGGACGAAGACGGUUUUAGGAUUGUAAAGUGCUUUCAGCAGGGAAGAAGGAAGUGACGGUACCUGCAGAAGAAGAGACGGAUAAAUACGUG
rnacentral:rRNA from 1 species